GACGAACGCUGGCGGCGUGCUUAACACAUGCAAGUCGAACGAACAGACGGGGAGUUUGUUCCUUUGACGAUUGGCGCACGCGUGAGUGACACGUGAGGAUACUGCCCCUGACUGAGGGAUAACUCCUGGAAACUGUGGCUAAUACCGGAUAUGAUCUGUUGAAGCAUAUGGUUCGGUGGUAAAAGACGUCGGUAUGGGAUGUGCUCGCGGCAUAUCAGCUUGUUGGUGAGGUAGCGGAUGACCAAGGCUACGACGGGUAGCCGGCCUGAGAGGGUGACCGGCGACAUGGGGACUGAGACACGGCCCAGACGCCUACGGGAGGCAGCAGGCGGGAAUAUUGCACAAUGGGCGCAAGCCUGAUGCAGCAACGCCGCGUGAGGGAUGACGGCCUUCGGGGUGUAAACCACUUUGUACGGAGAUGAAGCGAGAGUGACGGUACCUGAUCAAAAAGCCCCGGCUAACUACGUG
rnacentral:rRNA from 1 species